rnacentral:rRNA from 1 species
GAUCAUGGCUCAGGAUGAACGCUAGCUACAGGCUUAACACAUGCAAGUCGAGGGGCAGCGGGAAGUCAGCUUGCUGACUUUGCCGGCGACCGGCGCACGGGUGAGUAACACGUAUCCAACCUUCCCGUUACUCUGGAAUAGCCUUUCGAAAGAAAGAUUAAUACCGUGAUAGUAUCGAGAGUAUUGCAUGAACUAACCCGAAUUAAAGAUUCAUCGGUAACGGAGUGGGGAUGUCGUUCCAGUUAGGCUAGG